AUUUAUAUAGUUUAAAAAAAAACAUUAUAUUUUCAUUAUAAAAAUAAUAAUAAUUAUUUAUAAAUU
rnacentral:tRNA from 1 species